rnacentral:rRNA from 1 species
GAUGAACGCUGGCGGCGUGCUUAAUACAUGCAAGUCGAACGGAGAUAGUAGCAAUAUUAUCUUAGUGGCGAACGGGUGAGUAACGCGUUGGUGACCUGCCCCGAAGAGAGGGAUAGCAGUUCGAGAGGACUGAUAAUACCUCAUGUGGUUGAGGGUUUUAGAAUCCUUCAACUAAACGGAUUUAUUCGCUUCGGGAGGGGCCUGCGUCCCAUCAGCUAGUUGGUAGGGUAAUGGCCUACCAAGGCGAUGACCGGUAGGGGACCUGAGAGGGUGGCCCCCCACAAUGGAUCUGAAACACGGUCCAUACACCUACGGGUGGCAGCAGUAGGGAAUAUUGGUAAUCUGCGAAAGCGGGAACCAGCAACGCCGCGUGCACGAUGAAGGCCUUCGGGUCGUAAAGUGCUUUUAGAGAGGAUGAGGAAGGACAGUACUUUCUGAAUAAGCCUCGGCUAACUACGUGCCAGCCGCCGCCGUAAGAC